GAUGAACGCUAGCGAUAGGCCUAACACAUGCAAGUCGAGGGGCAUCACAUGAAGUAGCAAUACGGAUGGUGGCGACCGGCGCACGGGUGAGUAACACGUAUGCAACCUGCCUUCAACAAGGGGAUAACCCGUUGAAAGACGGACUAAUACCCUAUAACACAGGGGUCCCGCAUGGGAAUAUUUGUUAAAGGACAACCGGUUGAAGAUGGGCAUGCGUUCCAUUAGCUAGUUGGCGGGGUAACGGCCCACCAAGGCAACGAUGGAUAGGGGAACUGAGAGGUUUAUCCCCCACACUGGUACUGAGACACGGACCAGACUCCUACGGGAGGCAGCAGUGAGGAAUAUUGGUCAAUGGACGCAAGUCUGAACCAGCCACGUCGCGUGAAGGAGACGGCCCUACGGGUUGUAAACUUCUUUUAUACGGGAAUAAAGUGCCCCACGCGUGGGGUUUUGCAUGUACCGUAUGAAUAAGGAUCGGCUAACUCCGUG
rnacentral:rRNA from 1 species